AUACGGAGGAUCCGAGCGUUAUCCGGAUUUAUUGGGUUUAAAGGGUGCGCAGGCGGCCAUUUAAGUCAGCGGUUAAAUCGUGGGGCUCAACCCCAUUCUGCCGUUGAUACUGGGUGGCUUGAUUGCGGUCGAGGUUGGCGGAAUUCGUUGUGUAGCGGUGAAAUGCAUAGAUAUGACGAAGAACACCGAUUGCGUAGGCAGCUGACCAGACCGCAAAUGACGCUCAUGCACGAAAGUGCGGGGAUCGAACAGGAUUAGAUACCCUGGUAGUCCGCACAGUAAACGAUGAAUACUUGUUUUAGGCGAUAUAAUGUCGAAGGCAAAGCGAAAGCGAUAAGUAUUCCACCUGGGGAGUUCGCCGGCAACGGUUGAACUCAAAGGAAUUGACGGGG
rnacentral:rRNA from 1 species